CCUUCGGGAACUCUGACACAGGUGCUGCAUGGCGUGUCGUCAGCUCGUGUCGUGAGAUGUUGGGUUAAGUCCGUAACGAGCGCAACCCUGUCCUUAGUUACCAGCACGUUAUGGUGGGCACUCUAAGGAGACUGCCGGUGACAACCGGAGGAAGGUGGGGAUGACGUCAAGUCAUCAUGGCCCUUACGGCCUGGGCUACACACGUGCUACAAUGGUCGGUACAAAGGGUUGCCAAGCCGCGAGGUGGAGCUAAUCCCAUAAAACCGAUCGUAGUCCGGAUCGCAGUCUGCAACUCGACUGCGUGAAGUCGGAAUCGCUAGUAAUCGUGAAUCAGAAUGUCACGGUGAAUACGUUCCCGGGCCUU
rnacentral:rRNA from 1 species